AUUGAACGCUGGCGGCAGGCUUAACACAUGCAAGUCGAGCGGAGUGAUGGUGCUUGCACUAUCACUUAGCGGCGGACGGGUGAGUAAUGCUUAGGAAUCUGCCAUUUAGUGGGGGACAACAUUCCGAAAGGAAUGCUAAUACCGCAUAGGUCCUACGGGAGAAAGCAGGGGAUCUUCGGACCUUGCGCUAAUAGAUGAGCCUAAGUCGGAUUAGCUAGUUGGUGGGGUAAAGGCCUACCAAGGCGACGAUCUGUAGCGGGUCUGAGAGGAUGAUCCGCCACACUGUGACUGAGACACGGCCCAGACUCCUACGGGAGGCAGCAGUGGGGAAUAUUGGACAAUGGGGGGAACCCUGAUCCAGCCAUGCCGCGUGUGUGAAGAAGGCCUUAUGGUUGUAAAGCACUUUAAGCGAGGAGGAGGCUACUGAGACUAAUACUCUUGGAUAGUGGACGUUACUCGCAGAAUAAGCACCGGCUAACUCUGUGCCAGCAGCCGCCGUAAAAC
rnacentral:rRNA from 1 species